GAUCACAGUUGCCAUUUCUGACCUGCUCAGAACCAGCUUCAUGAUGGGCUCAAAGACCCAGGACCAGAUGCUCUUUUGACCUCUCUGACUUCAGUCCUUCUGGAGUCAGAUCACCCAGCUUCUCUGAUGAGUGACUGGUCAUUUUUAAAGCAUGCCUGCAGCAGUCUUCAAGAAGUUUCUGCCUGGGCAUCACAAUCAGCACACAUUUGCUCAUACACAUACCAGGUGAUGAGGACUCAACCACUGCAGACAGGCAGAGCCAUGCAAAUAAAGCCAUCCAGCAAGGUCACCUUUUCCUCAGAUGCCCCAGUUUCAGGAUGAUAGAAUUUGCAUAUUAAGUGUUAAUAGGCCUGGCAAUAAGCAGCUUUUGCUUCCCUUCCUCAAUGAGGGACAUGCCAGAAACAGACUUGCACACAGGCUCUGCUCAUAUGGGAAACAGGCCUGGCCUGAUACACAGGCUCUGCUCAUAUGGGAAACAGGCCUGACACACAGGGUCUGCUCAUAUGGGAAAAUGAUUUCAGUCACCGUCCUUAGCUCCAAAUUCUAUACUUGGAACCUAGAUUAUAAUCUAGCUCCUAAUCAAACUAGAUUCUGCUCCAGUUCAGUUUACUAAGGCAUUCCCUCUAAGCUGCCUCAGUGAAACCAGUAAGAGCCACUGGAUUACAAUUCUAAGUGCAGCUGUGCCUAAGAAGGAGAGAGUCCCACAGGAGAGGAGACUGGAGGGCAUAAGGCAGGGGAUGAUACAAAAUCCUGGACAGUCAUCACAUCAGUAACACAGCUUCAGAAAGUGGUGGGCUUGGAGGAGGGGAGAGAAAGAAACAAAAUGUCCCAAUAAUUUAAUGGCAGAGCUAGAAGAGAGCAUUUACAGCUAUUCUGGGACUCUCCAACAGAACGCUUUUCCUGGAUGCACAGACAUUCAUAAUACUGGUAACUCUCAUCAACAGCUC
rnacentral:antisense_RNA from 1 species